AGCUGAGAACCCACUCUAUCAACAUUAAACAGCGGCAGUUCCUGUAAGUUUUUAAGGGUUAUUGGAAGAUGACUUUACUUGUCUUCAUACAGUUUCACCUAAAUUAUGUUGGUGCUGUUGCUUUAGGACCUUCAGACCUGGAUGGGGACGUAUGAUAAGGAUCCUGGUUCUCAGGCCUUCUGGUCUGCACUGUAGCUAUACCUCCAGCUUUCCUGUGCUGUCAGUUUGGAGACAGCAGGUCAUGAGACUUCACUGCAUUCAUAAUUAUGUGAGCCAGUUUGUCAUGGUAAAUAUGUAUGUAUGCAUGUAUGUAUCCAUCCAUCCAUCCUGUUGAUUCUGUUUCUCUGGAGAACGCUGAUUAAAACACCUCUCUGCCUUCAGAACCCUUUUUCUUUCCUCUGACGUAUUAAUACUUUGAAUUUUAUAGAGAGAUAUUACAUGAGCAGAUGUGGCAACAUUAUUGAAUAUAAAAUGGUUAAUUUUGCUGCAUCACCCAAUUUUCUUACUCUGAUAAAAACUAUAAUGUAAGAAAUGAGAUAAUAAUUAUAAGUGAUUAUGACAAGUGUAAUAAUAACAUCACUUUUAUGGGGAAAUAAGGAAAAGCAAUAAUUUAUAAUGAAAUAAAAACUAAUGAUCAACAUACCUUUGCUGUGGUCAAUAAUUUAACUUGAUGUUUAAGAAAG
rnacentral:lncRNA from 1 species